UACGGAGGGGGCUAGCGUUGUUCGGAAUUACUGGGCGUAAAGCGUGCGUAGGCGGAAUGGAAAGUUAGAUGUGAAAUCCCGAGGCUCAACCUCGGAACUGCAUUUAAAACUCCCAUUCUAGAGUUCUGGAGAGGUAAGUGGAAUUCCUAGUGUAGAGGUGAAAUUCGUAGAUAUUAGGAGGAACACCAGAGGCGAAGGCG
rnacentral:rRNA from 1 species